ACUCCUACGGGAGGCAGCAGUGGGGAAUUUUGGACAAUGGGCGCAAGCCUGAUCCAGCAAUGCCGCGUGAGUGAAGAAGGCCUUCGGGUUGUAAAGCUCUUUUGUCAGGGAAGAAACGGUAGGGGCUAAUAUCCUUUGCUAAUGACGGUACCUGAAGAAUAAGCACCGGCUAACUACGUGCCAGCAGCCGCGGUAAUACGUAGGGUGCAAGCGUUAAUCGGAAUUACUGGGCGUAAAGCGUGCGCAGGCGGUUUUGUAAGUCUGUCGUGAAAGGCCCGGGCUCAACCUGGGAAUUGCGAUGGAGACUGCAAGGCUUGAAUCUGGCAGAGGGGGGUAGAAUUCCACGUGUAGCAGUGAAAUGCGUAGAGAUGUGGAGGAACACCGAUGGCGAAGGCAGCCCCCUGGGUCAAGAUUGACGCUCAUGCACGAAAGCGUGGGGAGCAAACAGGAUUAGAUACCCUGGUAGUCCACGCCCUAAACGAUGUCUACUAGUUGUCGGGUUUUAAUUAACUUGGUAACGCAGCUAACGCGUGAAGUAGACCGCCUGGGGAGUACGGUCGCAAAAUUAAAACUCAAAGGAAUUGACGGGGACCCCCACAAGCGGUGGAGCAUGUGG
rnacentral:rRNA from 1 species